AGGCUGGUCUUGAACUCAGAGAUCUACCUGCCGCUGCCUCCUGAGUACUUGGAUUAAAGGCAUGCAAUACCACCAUCCAGCUGCAUCAUAUUUUAUACCUAUUGCUCUGAUGUGUACAUUCAUUGCCAAAACCCUUAAUAUUGGCUUUUGCUGUAUCCAGCAUAUUUUUGUGUAAUUCCUUUGCUUACAUUUUUAUUUCUUUUGUGUAUGUGCCAUAACAUUUAGAGAGGUGUAUAAAAAGGCACCUUGUAGGAAUCUGUUCUGCCCUGGGGAUCAAACUCAAGCUGUUAGGCUUAGGGGCAAAUGUCUUUACUCUCUAAACUAUUUUGCCAAUCCAUAUAUUUCUAACUUUUUAUUCAGGGAUCUUUUAAAUCUCACCUCUGACUAUGAAGUCAAUAUUAUAUUUACCUGUUUCCUCAAUUGCUACUUGUUCACAUGUUUUCCAAAGUUUCUCAUGCUGUUGAUUUCUGUUUUCCCUGAUAUGCCAAAUAUUAACACUUUUUGUAUUCAUUAACACUUAGUGUUAGACUGACACAAAUAAUGCAUUUCUUACGGGAUCCACCCCAAUCCUUUGUAAAAAUUAAACAGCUGUUACUUCAUGAGUUCUAUUCAUUUAUUAUUGUAUAUCCUGACAAAAGUUUCCACUCCCUCUACUCACGGUACCUCUGCUGCCUCCCCCUGCACUGCUCUCAAUUCACUCCUCCUCUCUUUCUGUUCAGAAAGGGGCAUGUCUCCCAUGAGUCUCAAAAAAUCCUGGCAUAUCAAACUGUGGUAAGACUAAGUACCUCCCAUUGUAUUCAGGUUGAGCAAGGCAACCCAGUGUGAGGAAUUGGUUCCAAAGAGCCAGCCAAAGAGUUAGGAGCCGCACAAAUAGACCAAGCUACACAACUCUCACAAAUACAUCCAGAGGGCUUAGGUCAAUCCUAUGUAGGCCCCUGUUGUUGGUUCAGAUUCUGUGAGUUCCUAUGAGCCAAGUUGUUUCUGUGAAUUUUCUUGUAAUGUCCUUGACCCCUCUGGCUCUUAUAAUCCUUCUUCCCUCUCUUCAACAGUUUUCCCCAAGCUCAGCCUAAAGUUUGGCUGUGGGUCUCUGCAUCUGUUUCCAUCAGUCACUGGAUGAAGGCUUUCUGGUAAUAAUCAUGAUAGUCACCAAAAUGAUCACAGGAACUGGCAAGUUCAGGCUACAUAUCCACUGUUGCUGGGAGUCUUAGCUGGGGUCAUCCUUGUAGAUUUGUGGGAGUUUCCCUUGUAUCGGGUUCCUGCCUGUCCCUGAACCUCCCUCCCCCACACUUUCAAAUACUCUCUUUUAGUACUCUCCCCCUCCACCCAAACAUCCCCAACCAGAUCUCUCAAGUUCCAACCCUACCUGCAAACAGUCCACCCAGGAGACCUCUUCUAUUUCCUCUUCCUGGGGAGAUUCAUGCAUGCCCCCUCCUCCCGCCCUCUUUGUUACAUAGCCUCUCUGAGAUUGUAGUAAUUGAUGAGAUCUUUGAGGAUUGAAAACAAUGCCUUUUAACCUCUGAAUCAAUGUCUGGUUUUCACCAUGAGCUUUCUCCUUCUUUAGUUCAGAUCAGUGUGAGGAUCUCUCUUUUUAUUGGGAGCCCCAAAGCUCUAAUUCCCUUCAAUGACUCCUCUCACACAAAGCUUUCUCCUAGAAAGUAAACUAUUUGGAGAGAUGUUGGAGUAAGUUUACUUGUGUCAUAUACUUUAAAACACCUACCUCUCCUUUUUUUCUGUAUUUCAAAAUCUUCCCUCAGUGACACUCCAAACAUACUCUAACACACUACUUCUUUCCUGUACUCUCCAGCUUAGUUCAAAUGCAAAUCCUACACCAAAACAGUAGACCAAAAUGCCUCUAGAUGCUGACCAAAGUCAUAUCGUACCCUCAUUUCAAAGGCACUUUCCAGUCACUUUGGUAAUUUGGGCAUGUAUAAGUAACUCUAAAUAUACACAGGGAUGUCCACAAAGCUAAACAGGAUUAAUGAAAUCUAUCGUGUUUUAUAAUUAAGUUUUUGUGUAUUUGCUUACUUUUUUCUAUUUACCUUAAUCAUCCACUAACAUAAACUCCUUAUUCAUCUUUCAUGUAAUAAAUAUUAAGAAUCCAGUGUGCCACAAGAGAACUAAGUUCCGGGAGAGAGCAGAGACAUUAAAUUUCCCUGCCAACAAGGGAAGAAUUCAGUCAUUUCUAACUCAUCAGGUCCUACCUCCUACAAAUUGUCCAAGAAAGAGGUCUCAUGAUCUUCACGGGCACCUAAAAUAAAAAUUCUGGCUCAAGAUCAACAACAAUGAAUGCAAGUUUCAGGUCCUCCUAUCAAAUCUGUGUCAAUCGGUAGAUUCUAUACUUCCUGAUCAUCAUUACUUCCCUGGUUGAGCCAGCAGGAAACAAAUUUUCUCUGGCCCCUUGGCUUCCAUAUAUGUGGGAAUGACUUCUUGCUUUACAUCUUCAACCUGGCUGUGGCUAACCUCAUAUUCUGCUGCCCUGUUAUUGCUUCUUCUGAUAAAUGUUUUCAUGUUCUUCCAACACUUCUAUUUUUACAUCUGCCAUCUUCAACAAUAUAACAGUGAUUCCUUAUACCACAGGACUGAGGAUAUUCAGUGCUAUUAGCACCAUACACCACACGGUCUUACGGCCCAUAUGAUACCACUGCCACUAAAACAUACCAACAGUUUCGUAUGUCCUGAUCUGGGUCCUGUCCAUGUUGUCAAUGAUACAGUGGUGAUGCACUAAUAUUUGGGGGUUGUUAUUAAAGAGUUAGAUUGAUUUUAUCACAGCUGUGUGGUAAAUGUCUUUAUUUCUGACUCCUUACUGGUUCCUAUUAUGCUGACAUAAUUUCUCUUCAUCACUUUUGUCAUUAUUCAGCUAUAGUUAUCCCGUCCUAUGUCAACAGCUGUGACAACCCCUUGUUUACUUCUUGAUGGCUCCUUUAGACCACUGGUGGCAGUAAGGAACCAUGAAUCUGGUUCUCCAGAGGAGUUUGUAGGAUAUUCCUGGGAUGGAUGAAGAAAGAGACAGCCAUCCUCAGGCAAUUCCUGAGAUAUCAGGAUGCUGAGCAAGUGGAGUGAUACAGAACCUUUGGUGCAGUCAGAUACAGAGAUUGUCAUCAGAAAUAAGAAUGCCUCUCACCCUUUGGACAUUAUCAAUAAAUUUCUCAACUUUC